rnacentral:rRNA from 1 species
GACGAACGCUGGCGGCGUGCUUAACACAUGCAAGUCGAACGGAAAGGCCCUGCUUUUGUGGGGUGCUCGAGUGGCGAACGGGUGAGUAACACGUGAGUAACCUGCCCUUGACUUUGGGAUAACUUCAGGAAACUGGGGCUAAUACCGGAUAGGAGCUCCUGCUGCAUGGUGGGGGUUGGAAAGUUUCGGCGGUUGGGGAUGGACUCGCGGCUUAUCAGCUUGUUGGUGGGGUAGUGGCUUACCAAGGCUUUGACGGGUAGCCGGCCUGAGAGGGUGACCGGCCACAUUGGGACUGAGAUACGGCCCAGACUCCUACGGGAGGCAGCAGUGGGGAAUAUUGCACAAUGGGCGGAAGCCUGAUGCAGCUACGCCGCGUGCGGGAUGACGGCCUUCGGGUUGUAAACCGCUUUCGCCUGUGACGAAGCGUGAGUGACGGUAAUGGGUAAAGAAGCACCGGCUAACUACGUGCCAGCAGCCGCGGUGAUACGUAGGGUGCGAGCGUUGUCCGGAUUUAUUGGGCGUAAAGGGCUCGUAGGUGGUUGAUCGCGUCGGAAGUGUAAUCUUGGGGCUUAACCCUGAGCGUGCUUUCGAUACGGGUUGACUUGAGGAAGGUAGGGGAGAAUGGAAUUCCUGGUGGAGCGGUGGAAUGCGCAGAUAUCAGGAGGAACACCAGUGGCGAAGGCGGUUCUCUGGGCCUUUCCUGACGCUGAGGAGCGAAAGCGUGGGGAGCGAACAGGCUUAGAUGCCCUGGUAGUCCACGCUGUAAACGGUGGGUACUAGGUGUGGGGUCCAUUCCACGGGUUCCGUGCCGUAGCUAACGCUUUAAGUACCCCGCCUGGGGAGUACGGCCGCAAGGCUAAAACUCAAAGGAAUUGACGGGGCCCCGCACAAGCGGCGGAGCAUGCGGAUUAAUUCGAUGCAACGCGUAGAACCUUACCUGGGUUUGACAUGGAUCGGGAGUGCUCAGAGAUGGGUGUGCCUCUUUUGGGGUCGGUUCACAGGUGGUGCAUGGCUGUCGUCAGCUCGUGUCGUGAGAUGUUGGGUUAAGUCCCGCAACGAGCGCAACCCUUGUUCACUGUUGCCAGCACGUUAUGGUGGGGACUCAGUGGAGACCGCCGGGGUCAACUCGGAGGAAGGUGGGGAUGACGUCAAGUCAUCAUGCCCCUUAUGUCCAGGGCUUCACGCAUGCUACAAUGGCUGGUACAGAGAGUGGCGAGCCUGUGAGGGUGAGCGAAUCUCGGAAAGCCGGUCUCAGUUCGGAUUGGGGUCUGCAACUCGACCUCAUGAAGUCGGAGUCGCUAGUAAUCGCAGAUCAGCAACGCUGCGGUGAAUACGUUCCCGGG